GACGAACGCUGGCGGCGUGCCUAAUACAUGCAGGUAGAACGCACAGUUUAUACCGUAGCUUGCUACACCAUAGACUGUGAGUUGCGAACGGGUGAGUAACGCGUAGGUAACCUGCCUGGUAUCGGUGGAUAACUAUUGGAAACGAUAGCUAAUACCGCAUAAUAUUAAUUAUUGCAUGAUAAUUAAUUGAAAGGUGCAAUUGCACCACUACCAGAUGGACCUGCGUUGUAUUAGCUAGUAGGUGAGGUAACGGCUCACCUAGGCGACGAUACAUAGCCGACCUGAGAGGGUGAUCGGCCACACUGGGAAUGAGACAAGGCCCAGACUCCUAAGGGAGGCAGCAGUAGGGAAUCUUCGGCAAUGGACGAAAGUCUGACCGAGCAACGCCGCGUGAGUGAAGAAGGUUUUCGGAUCGUAAAGCUCUGUUGUAAGAGAAGAACGGGUGUGAGAGUGGAAAGUUCACACUGUGACGGUAUCUUACCAGAAAGGGACGGCUAACUACGUG
rnacentral:rRNA from 1 species